ACUAGAGUGGCGUAGUGGUUUGAGUGUUGGAUUGCAACUCUGGAGACAGGAUUCAAAUCCCUGCUCAGCUA
rnacentral:tRNA from 1 species